rnacentral:misc_RNA from 1 species
UGUCAGACUCGACAAAUCAAGAUAAGUACACGGGAUGAAAGAUAGGACAAAUGCCAAAGAAAGAGAAGGAAUAGAAUCGGAUCUUAGUGAAUGCCCUCAGUCUGCUUUGCUCCAUCUAAGGCUAGGGUUAGGCACUUCAUCUCCCAAACAGCCUUUAAAUAGCAAAGGUUACGGAUUCAAUUGCUAAGAGGGCAUUCGAGUCGAGUCAACUUAGGGAAAAAAGCUUUGCUCUAUAGUUGAAGAGCUUCUUUCCGUUACUAUUUGACAAGUGGAGUUGUCACUCGGAGCCCCUCUGUCAACAAAACAAGCCGUUAGUCAAGAGGUUAGAAACCGUGUUCGGUAUCGACAGAGAAA